rnacentral:rRNA from 1 species
AGCUCCAAUAGCGUAUACUAACGUUGUUGCAGUUAAAAGCUCGUAGUUGGAUUUCUGUAGUGGGAUGCCGGCCGGGUUCUCUGAACUUGUAGCUAGGUUAUCUUGCUGCAUCUUGUCGUAAUUCUCACUGGCAUUCAUUUGUUGGUGUAGAGGACCGACUCGUUUACUUUGAGAAAAUUAGAGUGUUUAAAGCAGGCUAUAGCUUUGAAUAUGUUAGCAUGGAAUAAUAAUAUAGGACUUUACGUUCUAUUUUGUUGGUUGUUCGAGGACGUAAGUAAUGAUUGAUAGGGACAGUUGGGGGCAUCAGUAUUCUGAAGCGAGAGGUGAAAUUCUUGGACCUUCGGAAGACUAACAACUGCGAAAGCAUUUGCCUAGGAUGUUCUCU